rnacentral:rRNA from 1 species
GAUGAACGCUGACAGAAUGCUUAACACAUGCAAGUCAUUGGCGAAGCUGCGCUUGCGCAGUCUAGCCAAGGCGGACAGGUGAGUAACGCGUAAGGAACUUGCCCUGCAGACAGGGAUAACAGACGGAAACGACUGAUAACACCUGGUAUUGUCAGGCUGGCGCAUGCCGGCCUGAUGAAAGGAGACGCUGCAGGAGAGCCUUGCGUCCUAUUAGCUAGUUGGUGGGGUAACGGCCCACCAAGGCGAUGAUAGGUAGCCGGCCUGAGAGGGUGAACGGCCACAAGGGGACUGAGAUACGGCCCUUACUCCUACGGGAGGCAGCAGUGGGGAAUAUUGGACAAUGGGGGCAACCCUGAUCCAGCAAUUCUGUGUGCACGAAGAAGGUUUUCGGAUUGUAAAGUGCUUUCAGCAGGGAAGAAGAAAGUGACGGUACCUGCAGAAGAAGCGACGGCUAAAUACGUG